AUGGAAGGCGUGCCAAUGGUGUGCUGGCCCUUUUCUGACCAGCAGAUCAUUAGCCGCUUCGUGGGCGUCGUGUGGAGGACGGGGCUGGACGUGAAGGACGUCUGCGACAGAGGCGUCGUUGAGAGGACGACGAGGGAGGCCAUGGAGUUCGACGAGAUCAGAGGGGUGGCCCAAGCUAUGGUGCAGCAGUUGAGGCUGGAUGUCGCGGAGGUGGGGUCGUCGUCAUCCGAGUUGGAGCGGCUCGUCCGCUUCAUCAGGGAGCUCAGCAUCAGGUCCUGUUGA
rnacentral:rRNA from 1 species